GCAAGUUGGAACUGAAGUCUGCAGGACGGUACUGAAGCUAUCCGGGAGCACAGUUGGAGACCCCUGGUUUAAAGGAAAUGUCUGUGUUUUUGUGCAUUCAAUGGAAGUCUUGUCUUUCGGAGAAUGUACGUCAUACAAGUUUGAAAAGACAUGAAGUGUCCCGCUGAGAAUUUCAUCUUGUGCAGGAGGACAGACUAUCAUUCCGGCAAAUAGCAUCACGAAGGCCAAACUUUUAAAGGACAUGUGUUACUGGUAGAGGACACGAAAUAUAAUGUAAUAAGAAAAUGUGGCCAAUGUUUGUGCCCCCUCUGUCCCUUGCAGCUAUGGCAAUUAAGUAAAUGUUUAAGCAUAAAGCACAAUAUAUGAUGAAUCAGUCAUAUGAAUCAGCUAAAAGUGACCCAGCCAAUUUGUCUAUAGAAGCAUUCAGUGCUUCAUGUGGAAGGAAAAAAGGAGGUACACUCCUACU